rnacentral:lncRNA from 1 species
UCUUUGAGUUUGUGGUGUGCCAGGUUCUGUUAGAUUUUGAAAAAAAGGAAAGAAACUAUCUUCACAGGUUUGGAAUUAGGACAUGGAUGUCUUGGGGGGGUGGGGGCCCAUUAUUCAACUGCCUAUAGUUAUAAUGGAAAUCGUAUUUCUUACUAUGAGAUGUGGUCAAAAUAGCUGGAAAGCCACUUCAUGGAAGUCUUCUGAAUUUUUUGAAUAAGAUGUAUUGCUUAGUUUUUAUUAUGAGCAUAAUACAUGAUCAUUAUAGAAAUAUGAGGAUAUACAAAAAGAUCAGGUUAAAAUCCCAUUGUUGGGGCCAGCCCUGUGGCGUAGUGGUUAAGUGUGGUGUGCUCCACUUUGGCAGCCCAGGUUUACAGGUUCAGAUCCCAGACGUGGACCUACACCACUGUCAAGCCAUGCUGUGGGGCAACCCACAUACAAAAUAGAGGAAGAUUGGCACAGAUCUUAGCUCAGGGCUAAUCUUCCUCACCAAAAAAAACAAAAACAAAACAAAACAAACCCAUUGUGAGUCCUCAGAGAUGAAACAAAAUUGGAUCCAUAUUAUAUGGAGUUAUUUAUCCUUCUUUUAGCAGUUAGCAAUAUAUCCCAAUUAUUUUCACACAUUCUUAUUUCAAAAGCGUAAUACUAAUGGCUGCAUAAUGUUCAAUCGUAUGACUAUACCAUAGUUUGUUCAACCAUUUUCCAACAUUUGGUCAUUUGAGUUGCUUCCAAUUUUUCCUUAUUAUUAAUGCACUAGGAAACAUUUUCAGAUAAAAAAUUAUAAUGCAUCUGAUUAUUUCCUUAGGAAAAAAAAUCUGGAAAGCAGAAUUAGUGAAUCAGAGGGUCUUUGGAAGGUUAUCCAGGUUCAAAGAAGAGAAGUCUGCUGACCAGACUAUAGAGUUUUGCCAAUCUGAUGGAAAAAUAAUUGGUAUCUGUGGAAGUCAUUUGGUUUCCCCAAACAUUUCCAGUCAUCCCUCCUUCCAAGCAAAUGGUGGGAGGAGCUGCACUUCCUGGUCCCUCGUGGUUGUGUGAGUUCCGGUGCCGUGUACUGAGCAAUGAGUUGUGAAGAGAUGUGUGCCAUUUCCAGGCUGGAGUAAUUAAUCGCUGAUGCAAACACCUCCAUGGCUCUCUGGAAAAGAGACCUACAAUAUUCAGGAAGUGACCAGUGUGUAACUCUGGGAACAUAAGUGAGUAUGAUGAACAGAGCCUCCCACUUGACCUACAGUGGACAUUUAGUGUGAGUGAGAAGUAAAAUUUUGUUGGUAUAAGAUUCUUGGAUGUUGGUGUAACAAUAUAACAUAACCUAUCGUGGUGUAUAAAGUAUCUCAUUUUUGUUGUAAUUUGCAUUUUCCUGCUUACUUAGUGAGGCUAAAUAUCUUUUGAUAUUUUGUUUGCCAUUUUUUAUUCUUUCAUAAAAUACUCAUUUACUGGCUUUUGUCCAUUUUUCAAUUGGUUUCUUUAUCUUUCGCUUAAUGAUUUAUGAGUUCUUGAAACAUUUUAGAUUCUCAUCUUCUGUCGGUUUUGCUUCAAAUUUACACAAUUGAUGGUUUUUCUUUUUAUCCUGUAGUUCUUAAAAAAACUUUAUUUUGGAAAAUUUCAAACAUAUACAAAAGUAGAGAGAAUAGUAUAAUAACCCCCCAUGAAGCCAUAACCCAGCUUCAACAAUUGUUGACUCAUAACCAAUCUGGUUUCAUUUGUAAGUCCUACCUAUUCCCCUCACUUUUGGAUUAUUUUGAAGAAAAUGCCAGACAUCAUGUAAUUUCAUCUGUGUAUCUCUACAGAUAAGGACUCUUUGCUAUUUAGAGGCUCUGCUGUUUGUGUGAACUCUGUUCCAGUGUUUCAACCUGCCCAGGCUAAAGUUUUCUCCCCCCUACUCCAGCCUGAGCUGUAGGUUUCUACAGAGCAUUUGUAUCUUGCCUAACCAGAUAGCUAAAGACAUUUUUGAAAAUCCUUUCUAUUGUAUUGUGUUAAAAGCACUGGAAAUAAUUUAGUUUAGUAUAUUCUCAUGUUGCCUAGAUACUUGCUAGUAGGUGUGUUUUAUACAUGCAUGUUUUUUACACUUGUUUUUUGUCAUUAUCCAUUUUAAUCUAUAAGCUUCCAAAAUGUAUGAACUGUUCCUGUUUGCCUUGUUUAAAAUAAUGCCCAACCCAAUGCGAUUCAGAAUUAAAUAUAUCAUAAAUUCUAUUUAAUGAAAAACAAAGUCCUGUUCCAGGGAAGGAAGAUCUAUUCCUCUACCCUCUAGGUCCUUCCGGAUGGUGUAAGAAUUAAAUUGACAUGAGGCAGAAUAACAGGAGAAUAUCAAAUAAAGUUUAAUAACAUGCACA